rnacentral:rRNA from 1 species
AUGGGAGGCAUCGGGAAAAAGGGAAAUAAAUCUCAGCCCCUAUUUCUAGAGGUAGAAGUUUUUGCUUUCCUCCAUGUUCCCUUGACCACCACUCUCAGACUAUCUUUUCUUCCUCUUCCCAACUCACUUUCACUACUUUAUCAACUGAAACAUCCUAUCCUAUGCAUUUGUAUACUUCCCACCUUCUCCUGUCAAAAUAUUUGGGCAAGCCGGAAGAAAGAGGAAGGAGUACCUAAGAUCUAUAGGAAUAGGAGGCAUCGGGAAAACAUAAAGAAAAUUUCUACCUCCGAUACUAGAGGAGAAAGCGAGCUCUAG